rnacentral:rRNA from 1 species
UACAGAGGUGCCGAGCGUUAGGCGGAAUCACUGGGCUUAAAGCGUGUGUAGGCGGGCCGUUAAGUAUCUUGUGAAAUCCCCCGGCUCAACCGGGGAAUGGCUGGAUAUACUGUCGGUCUUGAGCGAUCCAGGGGCAGAUGGAACAGACGGUGGAGCGGUGAAAUGCGUAGAUAUCGUCUGGAACGCCAAAGGUGAAGACAGUCUGCUGGGGAUCUGCUGACGCUGAGACACGAAAGCCAGGGGAGCGAACGGG